UGGUGGGCACUCUAAGGAGACUGCCGGUGACAAACCGGAGGAAGGUGGGGAUGACGUCAAGUCAUCAUGGCCCUUACGGCCUGGGCUACACACGUGCUACAAUGGUCGGUACAAAGGGUUGCCAAGCCGCGAGGUGGAGCUAAUCCCAUAAAACCGAUCGUAGUCCGGAUCGCAGUCUGCAACUCGACUGCGUGAAGUCGGAAUCGCUAGUAAUCGUGAAUCAGAAUGUCACGGUGAAUACGUUCCCGGGCCGUU
rnacentral:rRNA from 1 species